rnacentral:rRNA from 1 species
UACGGAGGGUGCGAGCGUUUGUCCGGAAUCACUGGGCGUAAAGGGCGCGUAGGCGGCUGGGGAAGUCGGCGGUGAAAGCCCGGAGCUCAACUCCGGGUCGGCCGUCGAGACUCCUCGGCUCGAGCUCACUAGAGGCAGAUGGAAUUCCGGGUGUAGCGGUGGAAUGCGUAGAGAUCCGGAAGAACACCGGUGGCGAAGGCGGUCUGCUGGGGUGAGGCUGACGCUGAUGCGCGACAGCGUGGGGAGCAAACAGG